CCUACGGGGGGCAGCAGUGGGGAAUAUUGGACAAUGGGGGGAACCCUGAUCCAGCCAUGCCGCGUGUGUGAAGAAGGCCCUCGGGUUGUAAAGCACUUUCAGUGAGGAAGAACGCCUGGUGGUUAAUACCCAUCAGGAAAGACAUCACUCACAGAAGAAGCACCGGCUAACUCCGUGCCAGCAGCCGCGGUAAUACGGAGGGUGCGAGCGUUAAUCGGAAUUACUGGGCGUAAAGCGCGCGUAGGUGGCUUGAUAAGCCGGUUGUGAAAGCCCCGGGCUCAACCUGGGAACGGCAUCCGGAACUGUCAAGCUAGAGUGCAGGAGAGGAAGGUAGAAUUCCCGGUGUAGCGGUGAAAUGCGUAGAGAUCGGGAGGAAUACCAGUGGCGAAGGCGGCCUUCUGGACUGACACUGACACUGAGGUGCGAAAGCGUGGGUAGCAAACAGGAUUAGAACCCUGGUAGUC
rnacentral:rRNA from 1 species